rnacentral:lncRNA from 1 species
GUGCAACGUUGUUGCAAGAGAGAGGGAUGGUCCUCUUGCAAUGGAAGAAGAAGAGGUAUUCUCAUGGAGGCACCUCCUGGAAAGUCCACAAUCAGAUCUGGCAGUUCAGCAGCCUCUUCUCAAAAAUCAAGAGCUGGGAGUUUAAUGACGUCACCUCCAUGUCCGAACACCUGAAAACCUGUCCUUUCAAUGUCGUGGAGCAUAAGACUGACCCCAUUCGUCUGACCAGCAUGUGCCAGCCCCAAGAGCAGGCCAGGGAGAGCUUAGUGUCCACGUUUAGGGCCCGACCGCGGGGAAGGCACUCUUAAAGAUCUGCACACCGCUGCUCCUGGCUUCUCAGAAUUAUUCAAAGUAGGACAGUGUGGUUUGAAACCUGCACAUCUAGACCAUGUGUGGAGCCCUUCAGGCCUUAGCAAGUACACUAGGACACUAGUUUUUGAGCUAUGGCUCGUAUGAUAGUGCCACAUUUUUUGAGCCUUACCUUGUUUCUUUCCUCCCUUAAAAUAGAUAAGUCAGGGGAGAAAAUUAAUAGUUUAAGCCCAUUUGAUGAAUGAACCCAAGUUCUUAGUUGACUGGAGAACAAGGACAUUGUAAGGAGCAUAGACUACUACUUCUACAUUGAGCAGAAAUGUAGCAGAAUUUACAAGCCCCUUUCCAGUUCUCGGGAAGGUGACACAGGGACCGGGUCUGAGGUGCAGUGACCUCCCAGGGUAUUCAGGUGGAGGGAAUUCAACUGGAAGAUUCUGAAGCUCGGUUGGUCUUGACAAUUCAGGGCUUUUUAGUCACCCUACUGCAUCAAAGCCCAGAUGGUUUUAAGGCAACCCAAGAGAACGGGCCACACUGUGUAAGCACAGCAGUUUCAAGGAUACCACAAGCCAAAGCAAAACAGUCUGCUGUAUAUAGUCUUGGCAACACCAAGAAAAAACUCUUUAAAAUGAAGGAAAGGCCAAAGUUCUCUGGAAGCAAAGUGGCUCCUGGUUGAGAGCCACUGUCCUAAAGGAUGCUACAUCAGCAGUGGGGAGUUAGAAUGCGCUCACUUUUACUGUGACAAAUCUGACCUUACUUGGCCUGUAUAAUUCAACACAACUCUUGCUUGUUUUACUAAAUACGUGUUAAACAUGUAGUGUUGCUAAAUUGAGAACCAGGUAGAGCAGAUCUACCCGAUAUGGCAUUUUGUCCUUGGGCCACAAAGUCAUAUAUCUUCCCUGCCCUCUUUAAGGAAACCUGAAACCAGGAAAGUCAUUUAGCUUAGGUUAAGUUCCUCUUCCCUUAAUUGGUGCCAUUUUCCAGCAACUCUAGAAGUUCUCAAGCUAAUGAAAAACGAGGAAAAGGGGAGGAAAGCGUCACAGGGAACCAGCCAUCCAAGAAUCCAAAUGAUGGAGUCUUGCCAACCUGUGAGCUCGUUGUCUGGGCAUCUGUCUCUCUGACCCUGGUUCAGAGCUGGUGCAGACGAAGAGGGUGGUGCAGAUGAAGAAGGUGGUGCAGACGAAGCUGGUGCCUCUGCAAAGGCAGCAGAGCAAGUCCAUUCUGAAAGCAUGCUCACUCUCCGCUGUAUUCCUCACAUGCUAUUGUUAACACGAUGCUGUUCUUUAUGCCUGAUCUUUACAGUUUGGUUUGGAUUUCACCACUCUUUUUGCGAGUCAUCAUUCACUAAAAGUGUAUCUAGAAUGUUCUCUAAGACUUUGCUCAGCAGAGAUGAAUAACUGAAAACAGUGAAACUAAAGAGGUUGGCAAAAGGGAA